rnacentral:rRNA from 1 species
UGGGGAAUAUUGCACAAUGGGGGAAACCCUGAUGCAGCAACGCCGCGUGAGUGACGAAGGCCUUCGGGUUGUAAAACUCUGUCUUAGCUGACGAUAAUGACGGUAAGCUAGGAGGAAGCCACGGCUAACUACGUGCCAGCAGCCGCGGUAAUACGUAGGUGGCGAGCGUUGUCCGGAAUUACUGGGCGUAAAGGGAGCGUAGGCGGUCGAUUAAGUGGGAUGUGAAAUCCCCGGGCUCAACCCGGGAUCUGCAUUCCAAACUGGUCGACUAGAGUGCAGGAGAGGAAAGUGGAAUUCCAAGUGUAGCGGUGAAAUGCGUAGAGAUUUGGAGGAACACCAGUGGCGAAGGCGACUUUCUGGACUGUAACUGACGCUGAGGCUCGAGAGCGUGGGGAGCAAA